rnacentral:rRNA from 1 species
UGCCAGCCGCCGCGGUAAUACGAGGGGACCUAGCGUAGUUCGGAAUUACUGGGCUUAAAGAGUUCGUAGGUGGUUAAAAAAGUUGGUGGUGAAAUCCCAGAGCUUAACUCUGGAACUGCCAUCAAAACUUUUUAGCUAGAGUAUGAUAGAGGAAAGCAGAAUUUCUAGUGUAGAGGUGAAAUUCGUAGAUAUUAGAAAGAAUACCAAUUGCGAAGGCAGCUUUCUGGAUCAUUACUGACGCUGAGGAACGAAAGCAUGGGUAGCAAACAGGAUUAGAUA